AAGUAACUAUCUAAAUUGGUGACAUUUGGCAACAGUGAGUAGAUCUGGUUUAUUUAUGUAUGUUUAUUCCAAACAUAACCUUAUAAACAAACAGUUGUUUAUUUAGAGUUAUUUAUUAUUGUUUUCUCAUAUUUUGCAAUUGUUAAGUUGGUUUACUUCGAAUUUAAUAUGCAUUACUGUGGUAUUUCUCCAGUUUUCUAAGAAGGUUGGUGAUUUUGAAUUGGGAUUAUGAUGAAUUUAACCCAAAGGCAAUGUGUGUUUAUUUAUGUGGCAAAAUUCCAGGCACCAUAAAAAUUUGAGUUUCUUCCUGUUGCCCAUGGAUGAAAAUCGGUUUGCAGAAUGAAAAGAAAUUGUUCAAUGUGAUAAACUUUCUAUGAACAGUCCUCAAUAUUGUUACAUUAACUUUUAAAUAUGCACUUUACAUCUUGAGGAGCAGGCCUUUGCAGAAAUACUGAAAAGCGGGUUGCAAAACAACGCAAAAUAAAAUAAACGAAAUAUGUCUUGAGAUUAAACAUUCAAGUUGAAGGUGUGUUCUUCCUUAAACUGGAAUGAUAAUUUUGUAAUUCUGUAGGCACAUCUAUUGAGAAGUUACAACCAGUGGCAAAGUGCCUUAAGGGAAUCUAUGACAUAUAUAAUUGAAGGUAUCAGCAUUGGCUCUACAGCCCAUGGUGGGUCUUGGCCUGUUCCAGAAUCAGCUUCCACUCUUUCCUAUCCUUUGCUUGGCUUUCCAAUUUCUCACUCGAGCAUGAAUUUUUGGUAUAUAUGGGAUUAUAUUGUGAUAACGACCAGAUCUAUGAAAGAAUAGUAUGUUGUUAAAGAAGAUUGUGGUGACACUAUUCAUGAAUAUCUGAUAAUAUUGGUUAAUGUGAAUGGAGUCCAAAAUGGGGUUUAGGCUGUUAUAUAAAAAACUAGGUCAUUAGCAUAUGGAAGUAGGGCGACAUUAUCUGGUAUUAAAUUAUGUGAAUGAGGAGAAUUAAACCUAAAAACUCUAUUUAUUCUGCUAAUCAAUAUGAUUUUGAUAUAUUUUAAUAUAAAACAUAUGUUAUUCU